rnacentral:lncRNA from 1 species
UCCAUCAAAUUUGUUGCCUCAUACCUUUGCCUAAUUCAGUAUUUACUUGUGAGGGUCUUCUAAUUCAAACAAUUUAUGACCCUAUGAUCAAAGAAUCUUUUCUCAUUUUUAUUUUGAGGGAAUCAAAGUUAAUUGUUUCACUCAUGAUAAGUAAAGGUUACAAUAGAGAUUUGGGUGACCAAUAUCCUGCAUUAUUGAUCGGCUUCUGAAGUACAUCUGCCUUCGUAUAAAUCUUUGCACCUUG